rnacentral:rRNA from 1 species
AUGGCUGUCGUCAGCUCGUGUCGUGAGAUGUGGGUUAAGUCCCGCAACGAGCGCAACCCUAUCUUAUGUUGCCAGCACGUUAUGGUGGGGACUCGUAAGAGACUGCCGGGGUCAACUCGGAGGAAGGUGGGGACGACGUCAAGUCAUCAUGCCCCUUAUGUCCAGGGCUUCACACAUGCUACAAUGGCCAGUACAGAGGGCUGCGAGACCGUGAGGUGGAGCGAAUCCCUUAAAGCUGGUCUCAGUUCGGAUCGGGGUCUGCAACUCGACCCCGUGAAGUCGGAGUCGCUAGUAAUCGCAGAUCAGCAACGCUGCGGUGAAUACGUUCCCGGGCCUU